CUCUACUGAAAAAAAAUCCAUGGAGUAUCCAACAUUAGACAUAAAUGUUGUCUCCGGAAAAGAUCUCAACAAGGUCAAUCUCAUCACAAAAAUGGAUGUAUACGUCGUCGUUUCAAUCUCCGGCGCCGAUGACGACAGAUCUAAUCAGAAAACCAAAACCCACGUUGAUCAUGACGGUGACAAUAACCCUACCUGGAAUUUCCCCAUCAAAUUCACCAUAGAUGAUAGCCCUGCUGUUCAAAACCGUUUGCAUCUUGUUUUCAAGCUUCGAUGUCAAAGGGCGCUUGGAGAUAAAGAUAUUGGACAAGUUGAGGUACCCAUCAAAGAGCUUCUCGAAUCUUCCAAUACCACUAAACAAUUUGUAAGUUAUCAAAUCAGAAAACCUUCCGGUAAACCCAAAGGUCAACUCACUUUUUCCUAUCAAUUUAGUGAUAAGAUCACCGGUAAUACUGUCGUUGAUUCUAAAAUUGAAAACCCCGUUACUGCUUAUCCGGCGGCAAAUCCAACCCCGAUGGUGGGAUCCACUUCUGUGUACCCACCAAUACCGCCGCCGCAGCAAGGUCCAAGUGGGCUAUACCCACCGCCUCCGAUCUACGCUUCUGGUGGGAGUGGUCCUGCUCCUCCACCGCCGGUGGCAUAUCCACCAUCUGCAACGGCAGGUUAUCCACCGCAACCGAUGGGUUAUCCACCAGUUGCAGCGGGAGGAUAUGGAUAUGGAUAUCCACCGGUGGCGGCAUAUACUCCGCCACCGCAGUAUGGAUAUCCACCUCAUCAAGGUGGACAUGGAUAUGGGUAUCCACAGGUGCAACGGCCGCCGAAGAAGAAUAAUAAUAACAUGGCGUUAGGAUUAGGGGCGGGUUUGCUUGGUGGAGCACUUGGAGGAAUGAUAAUCGGAGAUGCAAUAUCAGAUGUUGGAGGAGGUUUUGAUGGUGGAUUUGGUGAUGUUGGG
rnacentral:misc_RNA from 1 species